AGUGUCAGAGUAGUAACUGGUUCCCGGAUUUCUUUUUUAACUGUUUUCCCUAAUGUGACAUGUUCAGUUACCGGAUUGUUUACCGCAUGGAAACAGCAUGGCUGGACAGUGGGAUGUUAUCGCUGUUUGUUCCUGGCUCCAAUCCAAUGGAUUGGGGAAAUUUGCGGACUUUUUUACAGGAAAUCAAUGUCGGAUAUAAAUUGCCAGUAUUAUUUAAGAAGAAAUAGAUGGUAAUGCUUUAUUGGGCCUAAACGAAGAUGAGGUGUUACAGAUUUUCCCAAAAAUGGGACCAAGGGCAAAAUUUAGGACCCUCCUUCAUCAGUUAAAGGUAUGAACAUAACGCCAGAUCCUUUU